rnacentral:rRNA from 1 species
CGUGCCCAGCAGAGAGACCCGCGAAC